rnacentral:lncRNA from 1 species
GACAUUCCUGACCCUAUUUCCAGUAAGGUUUCCGGUGGUUGGACCUAGGGUUUUGAACCUAGGGUUUUUAUCUGACGAUUGAAGGCCGUUCUUCUCCGGUUGCGAAGAAGGAGGGUAACUCUAUCCCUGUUCUAAGUGUUGUAUGUUUUGCAUGUGGGUUCUGAAACUGUUUUUUUUUUUAUUUCAAACCGAUUGUUGUUCAUGGCUUCUAAUAUGAAUGCUAGUACCUCCUUAUGUAGACCAUACCAGUCCUCUUUUUAUCUACUCCUCUAAUGUUCCUGGAGUCUCUCUUGUGUCCACUCCCUUCUCGGAGAGUGGCUAUGGAGGUUGGAGGAGGAAGAUGAUUGUCGCGUUAUCUGCUAAAAACAAAAUCGAUUUUGUUGAUGGCACCUGUCCUCGACCAGUCACUAAUGUGACUCAGCAAAGAUUAUGGGACAUAUGCAAUAAUAUGGUGAUUUCCUGGUUGACUACCUCCCUCUCCCCUCAAAUUGCUGAAAGUGUGCAGUAUUCUGAUACUGCACACAGUAUAUGGUCCCAGCUUCAGGCCAGAUAUGGCACUGCCAACAGGACCAAAAUUUUUGAAUUAAAAAGAGAGCUUUCUCACACCUCUCAAGGGUCCCUAUAUGUAUCUUCGUAUUUCAAUAAACUUAAAGGUCUAUGGAGUGAAUUAGAAUCUAUGUGUACAAAUCAUGGGCAGAGAUGUGUUUGUGCUGCCAAAGAUGGUAUAAUACAGGAAAAUAAUGAAAAUAAGGUAUUUCAGUUUCUAAUGGGCCUUAAUGAAGCAUACAUGAGGGUAAGGAGUAACCUAUUGAUGAUGCAGUCACCUCCAACCCUUGACACUGUCUAUAAUAUGGUCCUCAAUGAUGAGAAGCAGAGACAAGUCCAGUCCCCUUCUCAGUUUAAUCCAGACUCUAUGUCUUUCAAUGUCCACACUAAUAUGAUAAGUGUUUCAAGAUUCAUGGGUUUCCACAAAGUACAACAUUUAACAAGGGGAGGAGACCUGCUGCUGCACAUCUAACUGCUGGUGUGGAAUCCCCUUCUUCUGAUGGAUAUGUGUCUAUUCCCCAAGGGAAUCCUCCUGAAAGCCAUCACUCUGUUACAAACAUAGAUGGCCAGAGUUCUGUGAUACCAGGGUUGAGCGGACAACAAUAUGACCAAUUGAUGAGCUUGUUACAACAGACCCAGUUAGGGGACUCCACUACUCAGACUCCUCCUCCCAUGUAUGCUGCCAACUUUGCUGGUACUAUGCUAACUGAGAGCCCUGCUUUUGAUUCCAAAUUUUGCAUGUUAACUCACAUUAAUUCUACUACCUGGAUAAUAGAUUCAGGAGCAUCAAACCAUAUGACUUUUAAUAAGGAUUUACUUUUCAGUCUUAUACCUUUAACUGUACUCUAUCUUGUUCUCUUCCCAAUGGAUAUAAAGUGAAAGUGACACGCACAGGAUCUUUUGUAUUAAAUCCAUUCAUCACUCUUCAUGAUGUCCUACUUGUUCCUUCUUUCAAACAUAACUUGAUUUCUGUCCACAGGUUAGUGAAACAGUUGCAUUGCAUAGUAUUGUUCACUGCAACUUCCUGUUUACUUAACUUGUUACAGGCCCCUUCUCUGCCAUAUGACUUUUAAUAAAGAUUUGCUCUUUAAUCUCAUACAUUUAACUGUGCCCUAUCUUGUUACUCUUCCCAAUGGAUAUAAAGUGAAAGUGACAUGUAUGGGAUCUUUUGCAUUAAAUCCAUUCAUCACUCUUCAUAAUGUCCUACUUGUUCCUUCUUUCAAACAUAACUUGAUUGCUGUCCACAAGUUAGUACAGUUGCAUUGUAUAAUACUGUUUACUGCAACUUCCUGUUUAAUUCACUUGUUACAGGCCCCUUCUCUGAAGAUGCCUCUGGAUCUUGGUAAAGAUGAGGCUGGUCUGUACAAGCUUGUUUGGGUGCCCCCUUCAUCUUCUUCUAAUUGUGGUUCUUCUGUUUCUGUAUGUUCUUCUUCUUCUAAUUCUUGUAAACAUGCCUAUUCUAGUGAUCAAGCUGUUGGUUUGCCUUUGAAUGAAAACAGUCCCAUGUGUAAUAAUACUGUUACCACAGACAUGAAUUACAUUUGGCAUUUAACGUUGGGCCAUAUUAUUUUUGUGAACAUGAAACACAUUUCUGGUUUACAUUUUCCAUUCGCUUCUAAAUAGCCUUUUCAAUGCUCUACCUGUCCUAUGGCUAGGCAAACUAGGCUUAUCUUUCUUGAAAGCAUUACUAGUACAUCUAAGCCUUUUCAGUUGAUUCAUGUUGAUACUUGGGGACCUUAUCAUACCCCCACCUCUUCUGGUUCUUUGAUUCAUGUUGAUACUUGGGGAUCUUAUCAUACCCCCACCUCUUCUGAUUCUAGAUAUUUUCUCACAAUAGUUGAUGACUUUUCUAGGGCAACCUGGACACAUUUGUUAGGGUCUAAAAACAAUGCUUUCUGCAUGCUUGAAUCUUUUCUCUGUAUGGUCAAGACCCAAUUCAAUGCAAUUGUACAAACUGUUAGGAGUGACAAUGCUUUAGAAUUGGGAUCUAGCAUUGCUGGUACAUCCUUUUUUAACCAAAAUGGCAUCAUACACCAAACCACUUGCCCACAUACUCCCAAAUAGAAUGGUGUUGUUGAGAGGAAAUAUAGAACCCUUCUUGAAACCUGUAGAGCUUUGCUUUUCCAGUCUGAUUUACCCAUUUCUUUCUGGGGUGAUUGUCUAUUAACUGCUAUCUAUCUUGUUAAUAGAGUACCCUCCAGGCUCCUUCAUGGUAAAUCCCCUUGUGAAAUCUUACAUAGUAAGGCACCCACUUACUCUUAUUUAAAGGCUUUUGGCUGCCUUGCCUAUGCUACUGUCCCCAUUCCUCAUAGGGACAAGUUAAAGCGUAGGGCCAUUUCUUGUGUUUUCC